UCCUACGGGAGGCAGCAGUGGGGAAUAUUGCACAAUGGGCGCAAGCCUGAUGCAGCCAUGCCGCGUGUAUGAAGAAGGCCUUCGGGUUGUAAAGUACUUUCAGCGGGGAGGAAGGUGUUGAGGUUAAUAACCUCAGCAAUUGACGUUACCCGCAGAAGAAGCACCGGCUAACUCCGUGCCAGCAGCCGCGGUAAUA
rnacentral:rRNA from 3 species